rnacentral:snRNA from 1 species
GGAUGUAAGGGAGAUCUGGCUGCGACAUCUGUCACCCCAUUGAUCACCAGGGUUGAUUCGGCUGAUCUGGCCGGCUAGGCGGGUGUCCCCUUCCUCCCUCACCGCUCCAUGUGCGUCCCUCCCGAAGCUGAGCCCUAGGUCGAAAAGGACGGCCUUCCCCGAGUACAGACGGACAGGUCUUCAGUCGAGGGUAUAGGAGUAGCUGCCACCCCCUGCUAGAACCUCCAAACAAGCUCUCAAGACUAGGAAAGCUAUUAAGGGAGGGGGUGGGAUACAGAAUUGUGUGGAGUUGUACUCCUAUUA